rfam:Oryctolagus cuniculus chromosome 18, whole genome shotgun sequence.
CUCCAUCUUCUCUAGUGGGGACUGGGAGCCCAUUGCAAUCCGAGGGUCUUGAGUGUGCUUGGCCCAGGCCAGU